CUUUUUUUUUUUUUUUUUAUUUAAUAUAUAAAUAAUUUAACUUGCUGCCGACUGCAGUUCUAAUGUAAUCGAGCAAAUUUAUAUGGCAGAAUCCAUUAACAACGCGAACAAAGAAGGAGCUAAAUUCUGGAUGCGAUGCCAGAGUAUCGUUUGGCAUGUGCUCUCUUAGGGAAAAGUGCCAAAGGAAAUCGGCAAACUCCACACCACAAAAACACGUCUGAGUUGAAUAGAUUUGGUUUCCAAGCCCCUGGAAUGCUGGUAACUCUAGCUGCUAUGCCACCAUGAAAAAUGUGACAACUCGAUCUCAGCAGGACUAUCUGUUCCUGAACUGAAGAAGGGAGCCAAGGCAAGACGACCAAUAACGUCACUGCUGGUUUGCUCUGUCUGUGUGAAGUGUUCAAUAAAUACCCUUGCUGUUCGUGUUUUGAAUUGAAUAAAGCUGGUU